UGCAAGUCGAGGGGCAGCAGGUUUGUAGCAAUACAGAUGCUGGCGACCGGCAAACGGGUGCGGAACACGUACACAACCUUCCUUCGAGCGGGGAAUAGCCCAGAGAAAUUUGGAUUAAUACCCCAUAGUAUAUUGAUAAGGCAUCUUAUUAAUAUUAAAGAUUUAUCACUUGAAGAUGGGUGUGCGGCUGAUUAGAUAGUUGGUGAGGUAACGGCUCACCAAGUCUGCGAUCAGUAACUGGUGUGAGAGCACGACCAGUCACACGGGCACUGAGACACGGGCCCGACUCCUACGGGAGGCAGCAGUAAGGAAUAUUGGUCAAUGGACGCAAGUCUGAACCAGCCAUGCCGCGUGGAGGAUGAAGGCCCUCUGGGUUGUAAACUUCUUUUAUAUGGGACGAAAAAGGGUCUUUCCAGAUCAACUGACGGUACCAUGUGAAUAAGCACCGGCUAACUCCGUGCCAGCAGCCGCGGUAAUACGGAGGGUGCAAGCGUUAUCCGGAUUCACUGGGUUUAAAGGGUGCGUAGGUGGGUUGGUAAGUCAGUGGUGAAAUCUCCGAGCUUAACUUGGAAACUGCCAUUGAUACUAUCAGUCUUGAAUAUUGUGGAGGUUAGCGGAAUAUGUCAUGUAGCGGUGAAAUGCUUAGAGAUGACAUAGAACACCAAUUGCGAAGGCAGCUGGCUACACAUAUAUNGACACUGAGGCACGAAAGCGUGGGGAUCAAACAGGAUUAGAUACCCUGGUAGUCCACGCCCUAAACUAUGGAUACUCGACAUACGCGAUACACAGUGUGUGUCUGA
rnacentral:rRNA from 1 species